GAAGUCCUCUGUUUAUUCGCAGGCUAGGUGUGGUGCAGGCAGCCGCAAUGCGAGCUUCCAUACACUGCUACCCUGCUAAGAUCUCCACCCUGGCCCGGAGGAGCCAUCCUCGCUAGGGGUGUAAAGGUAACUC
ensembl:misc_RNA